rnacentral:lncRNA from 11 species
UUGGAAUGCAGUGCUUUGGUGGAGUUCUGAUAUCUCCUCUGUCCAUUGUGGAUAGAUCUCUGCUUUUGUCUUCUAUUGGUCUGUGUCUGAUUUGGCUUUCUGGGAAGGCAAUUUGCCACCCCUGCAGCCUUGAAUAUGAUGGCUCAAAAACCGUCUGGUGAUUAUGACUUGUCUGUUAAUCUUCUUGUACUCGGCAUGCUAUAAAGCAAUGGAUAUCAGUUUGAGUCUAUUUGCAACAAGAGG